rnacentral:rRNA from 1 species
GACGAACGCUGGCGGCGUGCUUAACACAUGCAAGUCGAACGAUGAACCCGGAGCUUGCUCCGGCGGAUUAGUGGCGAACGGGUGAGUAACACGUGAGUAACCUGCCCUUGACUCUGGGAUAACUGCGGGAAACUGUAGCUAAUACCGGAUACGACCCUCGGCGGCAUCGCCAGGGGGUGGAAAGAAUUUCGGUCAAGGAUGGACUCGCGGCCUAUCAGCUAGUUGGUGAGGUAACGGCUCACCAAGGCGACGACGGGUAGCCGGCCUGAGAGGGUGACCGGCCACACUGGGACUGAGACACGGCCCAGACUCCUACGGGAGGCAGCAGUGGGGAAUAUUGCACAAUGGGCGCAAGCCUGAUGCAGCAACGCCGCGUGAGGGAUGACGGCCUUCGGGUUGUAAACCUCUUUUAGUAGGGAAGAAACAGCAGCUCUAACACAGUUUGCGAAUGACGGUACCUGAAGAAUAAGCACCGGCUAAC